GCCCAGGCCCAGGCCCAGGGACCUUACUUCCAACCCAGUCCCCAGGCCCAGGCCCAGGGACCUUACUACCCGGCCUGGCCCGACACUCAGACCCAAGGACCUUACUACGAGCCCAGGCCUUUAAUCGCAAAACCCAGUAAAAAGGGCUAGCGAUCUAACAAGAGCAGAUGGGAUGUUCUGUGAUGGACUGACCCAACACCUCCAGAAGAGCAAUGUCUUCAAUGUGGACACUUUUGAGCUGACUCGUGGAAAAAUAAAAAUGCAAUGCAUGAAAUGUGUAAAUGA